AUUGAACGCUGGCGGCAUGCUUUACACAUGCAAGUCGAACGGUAACAGCACUUCGGUGGCUGACGAGUGGCGAACGGGUGAGUAAUACAUCGGAACGUGCCUAGUAGUGGGGGAUAACUACUCGAAAGAGUAGCUAAUACCGCAUGAGAUCUAAGGAUGAAAGCAGGGGACCUUCGGGCCUUGCGCUACUAGAGCGGCUGAUGGCAGAUUAGGUAGUUGGUGGGAUAAAAGCUUACCAAGCCGACGAUCUGUAGCUGGUCUGAGAGGACGACCAGCCACACUGGGACUGAGACACGGCCCAGACUCCUACGGGAGGCAGCAGUGGGGAAUUUUGGACAAUGGGCGCAAGCCUGAUCCAGCAAUGCCGCGUGCAGGAUGAAGGCCUUCGGGUUGUAAACUGCUUUUGUACGGAACGAAAAGCCCUCUUCUAAUACAGGAGGGUCAUGACGGUACCGUAAGAAUAAACACCGGCUAACUACGU
rnacentral:rRNA from 1 species